rnacentral:rRNA from 1 species
UACGUAGGGUCCGAGCGUUGUCCGGAUUUAUUGGGCGUAAAGAGCGUGUAGGCGGCCAGGUAGGUCUGCUGUGAAAACUCGAGGCUCAACCUCGAGACGUCGGCGGAAACCAUCUGGCUAGAGUCCGGAAGAGGAGAGUGGAAUUCCUGGUGUAGCGGUGAAAUGCGCAGAUAUCAGGAAGAACACCCGUGGCGAAGGCGGCUCUCUGGGACGAUACUGACGCUGAGACGCGAAAGCGUGGGGAGCGAACAGG